rnacentral:rRNA from 1 species
UACGUAGGGGCCUAGCGUUGUCCGGAUUUAUUGGGCGUAAAGAGCUCGUAGGCGGUUCGGCAAGUCGGAUGUGAAAUCUCCACGCUUAACGUGGAGGGGCCAUUCGAAACUGCCGUGACUCGAGUCCGGUAGGGGAGUGUGGAAUUCCCGGUGUAGCGGUGAAAUGCGCAGAUAUCGGGAGGAACACCAGUAGCGAAGGCGGCACUCUGGGCCGGUAUUGACGCUGAGGAGCGAAAGCGUGGGGAGCAAACAGG